ensembl:snRNA U6 U6 spliceosomal RNA
GUGCUCACUUCAGCAGCACAUAUACUAAAACUGGAACAUUACAGAGAAGAUUAGCAUGGCCUCUGCGCAAGGAUGACAUGCAAAUUCAUGAAGUGUUCCAUGUUUUU